UCCACUGACUAAUUUCCACGUGAUGUGAUUAUAUGAAGGUAAUAGAAAGAAAAGAAAGCCCUAUGGAGUUGAUACAGUUAUUGUAGAAGACGGUUAAUGAUAGAAAUGACGAUGUAAAUAUAAAGGUAGAUUUCCGCAAUUGUAUUCCAGUUGGGUUGUAAAUGAAUAAUAAAAGUCCAUCUUAAAUAUAUGAACUGUAUUUUGGAUACAUAUGUGAAAUAAGUAAAUGGGCCUGAAUCCAUAAUUAU